UACGUAGGGAGCAAGCGUUGUUCGGAUUUACUGGGCGUAAAGGGCGCGUAGGCGGCAAUUCAAGUCAGCUGUGAAAUCUCCGGGCUUAACUCGGAACGGUCAGCUGAUACUGCUUUGCUAGAGUGCGGAAGGGGCAAUCGGAAUUCUCGGUGUAGCGGUGAAAUGCGGUAGAUAUCGAGAGGAACACCUGAGGUGAAGACGGGUUGCUGGGCCGACACUGGACGCUGACAGCGCGAAAGCCAGGGGAGCAAACGGG
rnacentral:rRNA from 1 species